rnacentral:misc_RNA from 1 species
ACCCGCCAGUUUUGUUUUACAGACGCCGAUCGAGGGGGUCAGAACUUGUUGGACAUUUUGAGACGAUCACAGCAACAUCGUUGACGGGGAGAGUUGUAUCCGUCAUAUUCUGAGAAUGAGGACUUGGCCGUUGUUGCUUGUCGUCACGGCUGCCGUUGUGGCGGUCGUGUUUGCAGAGGAGGAUGAUCAAAGUCAUCAUCUGACAAAGCGUAGUCGAUCACGCGAACGUAUGGAUUACGGGUGCAUGGACUGCUUUGGCCGAGGCAGUCGAGAAGGUCGUCGGUACGGAGGCCGCAGUCGCGGAGGUUACAGUCAUGGAGGUCAUAGUAUAGUGAUAGUAGUGAUAGUAGUGGAGGGCGGAGUCGUGGAGGAAGACGCAGCAGGGGUCGACAUAGUCGAGGUCGUAGUGGAGGGAGAAGCAGAGGUGGCCACUGGUCGGAGUCAGACGGGUACGAUAACGGUGGACAACCAUCUUGCAGGUGCCCGUUCCAGUUUCAAGGUCAACAGGGAUGGAGCCAAGGACCACAGUUUGGUUCAGUAGGCUACGGGCGUCAAGGCGGACACAGUGACGGAUACUACCGUCAGUGGAACAGAGCUUUCUCCACCCACCCCUGCUGCGGAGGUAGGUAUGGCAACAUCACCUUCCUUCAGACAACACAAGAAUCUCGCCAGGGCCCGGUAGCGUUUUAAACAGCACUAACACUGCCAAUAAGGUGUUGAGCUAUGACGUCUUCAAUAAACAUUCACCUGAGAAA